rnacentral:snRNA from 1 species
GUGCUGGCUUCAGCAGCAUAUAUACUAAAAUUGGAAUGAUACAGAGAAAAUUAUUGUGGCUCCUGCACAAGGAUGACACACAAAUUAAUGACAUGCUCCAUAUUAAA